GUCUAGUCCGGUUAGGAUACUUGGUUUUUACCCAGGCGGCCCGGGUUCAAAUCCCGG
rnacentral:tRNA from 1 species